rnacentral:rRNA from 1 species
ACUGAACGCUGGCGGCAGGCCUAACACAUGCAAGUCGAACGAGUGGCGGACGGGUGAGAAAUGUCUGGGAAACUGCCCGAUGGAGGGGGAUAACUACUGGAAACGGUAGCAAAUACCGCAUACCAUCGGAUGUGCGCAGAAGGGAUUAGCUAGUAGGUGGGGUAACGGCUCACCUAGGCGACGAUCCCUAGCCGGUCUGAGAGGAUGACCGGCCACACUGGAACUGAGCCCCGGUCCAGACUCCUACGGGAGGCAGCAGUGGGGAAUAUUGCGCAAUGGGCGCAAGCCUGAUGCAGCCAUGCCGCGUGUAUGAGGAAGGCCUUCGGGUUGUAAAGCACUUUUGGCAGGAAAGCGGUACCUGCAGAGUAAGCACCGGCUAACUACGUGCCAGCAGCCGCGGUAAUAC